rnacentral:rRNA from 1 species
CGGCAUGCCUAACACAUGCACCUCGAGCGCGCCUUCGGGUGAGCGGCGGACGGGUUAGUAACGCGUGGGAACGUGCCCUUCUCUACGGAAUAGCCUCUGGAAACGGAGAGUAAUACCGUAUACGCCCUUUGGGGGAAAGAUUUAUCGGAGAAGGAUCGGCCCGCGUUAGAUUAGGUAGUUGGUGGGGUAACGGCCUACCAAGCCUACGAUCUAUAGCUGGUUUUAGAGGAUGAUCAGCAACACUGGGACUGAGACACGGCCCAGACUCCUACGGGAGGCAGCAGUGGGGAAUCUUAGACAAUGGGGGCAACCCUGAUCUAGCCAUGCCGCGUGAGUGAUGAAAGCCUUAGGGUCGUAAAGCUCUUUCGCCUGUGAUGAUAAUGACAGUAUCAGGUAAAGAAACCCCGGCUAACUCCGUGCCAGCAGCCGCGGUAAUACGGA